rnacentral:lncRNA from 10 species
GUAGAAAAAUAAGCAAAUGACAAACCAGGUAUUUUCAGAGGAUAUGACUGAACACAUGAAAAGAAGUUUUACCUUGUAAGUGAUUGGCUAAUUAAAACCAUAAUUAAUAACAUUUUACAUUCAAUAGAUUGAAAAAUUAAGGAAUACAACAAUACCAAUAAAGAUGAUGUGCCUCAGUCUUUCACACUGCAGAUAGGAUUUUGAACUGAUAGACUCUGAGCUCAGAAAGCAAUUUGGCACUAUCUCUUAGAGUUAAGAAUUCACGUACACUAACCAUUCUACCUCUACAUAAAUGCCUUAGAGAAAUUCUUGGAUAUGUGUACCUCAAGAGUACACAUGUGAGAAUGCUUGUGGCAGCCCUGUUUUUAAUUACUCAAAUGUCCGUUGACAACAAAAAACAAAUUACGGGUUUUGUAAUUUUAUUCAGCAGGGAGAAUGACCUACAUACAACAACCCAGAGUAAUCUUAAAAAUGAUAAAGCAAGUCUCAGAAGUCUACAUACAGUAUGCUACAGUUUUUAUAAAGCUAUAAAAGAAACCUAAACUGUAUUAUGUAGGAAUAUGUAUAUUUGUGAUAAAACUUUUUCUUUUAAAGGAGUCAUAAAACUCAGGAUAGUGGCAAGGUGUAACACAUGAAUACAUAAAACAAUAUUAGUGAUACUUUCGUUCUUGAGUAAUGGGUUUCUUGAUCUUCAUUUCAUUUACUUAAUGGCACUAACAUAAAUUUUGGGUGGGGUUGUCUGUUACUAACAAACUACCCUCAAACUUAAUUAGCUUAAAAUAACAACCAUUUCACUUGCCUCAAUGCUGUGAGUUGAUAGGAAUCAGCUGGGUGGUUUUGCGCCACAUGAUGGUGACUUUAGCUGCAGUUAUCUAGGGGCUGGAUUGGGCUUGAAACAUCUGAGAUACUCAUGCACAUGAUUGGCAGUUAAUGGUGGCUAUCAGCUGGGAAUUCAGCUGCCACAUCUCAGUUUAUGUGGCUUCUCCAUGGGACUUGGAGUUCUUCCAGUCGUGGUGGCUGGGCUUGCUAUCAUUUAUGGCUGGGAUCCAAGAAGCAGCAUCCCAAGUAUAAGCAUUUCAAGAAGAGGAAAGUAGAAGCUAAGUCCUUUUGGGGCCUUAGCUUGGAAAUCCCAGAACAUUAUUUUCACCACAUUGUAUUGGUCAAAGUAAUCUACAGGGUCAGCCUAGAUUAAAGAAAAAAAAAAAAAACCCCUUUUUGAUGGGAAGGGGUCAUGCAUACACGAGCAAGAAAGAAAUUGAUGGCAGAAAUCUUUGGUAGUUACAAUGUACCCCCUGGUCAUAGUAAUUUGUGUUCCUGAUGGAAAAUUAUUUCACUACCUCCUAGGAAACCUUAAAGUCUCAUCUCAAUAUGACAUCAAGUUCAAGCUCAAGACCCAGAAUCUCAUGAUCUAAACCAGUUUCAGUAACAUAUGAGGCACCUUUACUACAGUUUCCCUCAAUCCGAAGAUGUGUGAAACUAAAGACAAGUUUUCUUUCCCAUAUUCACCCAGCCUACGAUGGUCAUCUUCCAAGAGUGAAGGAUGAU